rnacentral:lncRNA from 1 species
UUUCAAAAUCGCUAUUCUAUUUGGCAAAUUAAUCAAAAAAUCCAUUCCGUCAAACCACAAAAUUCAAGCAAUAUUUUACAUCAAUUAAAUAUUCAAUACAGGACAUUGCAAAGGAAGCGAAGCAAGAUGGUCGGCACUAUAGUAGAGCAUUGAGAGGAUGGGACAGCGCGCCCUCUGGCUGCUGGUGACGGCACUACUACUGCUCCUGAACUACGUCAGCGGCUGUACUCGCAAAGUUUACAUAGCCUGCAGACAGCCAGCGCCUUGCAGCAAGUGAAUUAAAAUAAUAGAAGAUGGCUAAAUUUGACAUCAGCCGGCUGUACUCAAUUAUAUUCGCCUUGUUCACUGUAUUUAUUACUGCCGCGUCGUGCUGCAAGCGGAAAAUACCAUGCACGGGUCGCGCGCCCUGCCGCCGCGGGCCUUACAGAAACUAGCUGCAACUUGACACUCGUGCAAAUUACAACUACAUCUAGCGCUAGGGAAAUAAUUAAGGUUAAAAUUAUAAAGGUAUUUUUCUGAAUCUAAAACUUGUUACAAUGUUUACAUUAAAAUUUAAGUAUAUUUUCAUAUUUCUCUUUUUAGACUACCUU